UCGUUUAACAUACAAUGGAAAAUUAUUUUCAAGCUUGUCGGGUAUCAGCAUUGUCAUGCAGGCCGAGUGCCAUCAUUUUAUGCACCUUUUUUAAAAUUACUUGUGUCAAUUACAUGAUGGAUUUUUCUUUCUUCGUCAGGGUAUCAACACAUUUCUUCCACAUUUGUACUUAAAUGGCAGGAAUAUUUUGCUCCAGGAACUAACUACCACAGUUACUGAUCCUUUUCUACAAUUAAGGUAGAUGCAUCAUCAAAUUGAUACAGAGAGUCGUUCUUCUGUUCCGUCUCUCUGUGGUUGCGCGCUGGUGGGCGGGCCGACACUUGCCCGUUUGCUUUUGCGCUGCUAAGUCACAUGACGGCACAACAUGGAAACACGAGAGGGGGGAGGAGGAGCAAAGGACCGCUACUGACUUGGUAUCGAUACUGACGAUGUUUGGAUCGAUCUGCUCACUGCUAAAAAUGAAUAAAUAAAAAUGAAGGUUGGGAAA